rnacentral:rRNA from 1 species
UACGGAGGGGGCUAGCGUUGUUCGGAAUUACUGGGCGUAAAGCGCACGUAGGCGGAUCAGUUAGUCGGGGGUGAAAUCCCGGGGCUCAACCCCGGAACUGCCUUCGAUACUGCUGGUCUGGAGUCCGAGAGAGGUGAGUGGAAUUCCGAGUGUAGAGGUGAAAUUCGUAGAUAUUCGGAGGAACACCAGUGGCGAAGGCGGGUCACUGGCCCGGUACUGACGCUGAGGUGCGAAAGCGUGGGGAGCAAACAGG